CGAACGGGUGAGUAACGCGUGAGGAACCUGCCUCAAAGAGGGGGACAACAGUUGGAAACGACUGCUAAUACCGCAUAAGCCCACGGCUCGGCAUCGAGCAGAGGGAAAAGGAGUGAUCCGCUUUGAGAUGGCCUCGCGUCCGAUUAGCUAGUUGGUGAGGUAACGGCCCACCAAGGCGACGAUUGGUAGCCGGACUGAGAGGUUGAACGGCCACAUUGGGACUGAGACACGGCCCAG
rnacentral:rRNA from 1 species